GGAUCCGUAGCUCAGUUGGCUAGAGCGCUUCAUUGACGUUGAAGAGGCCAGAGGUUCAAGUCCUCUCGGAUCCACCA
rnacentral:tRNA from 1 species